rnacentral:rRNA from 1 species
UGGGGAAUAUUGGACAAUGGGCGCAAGCCUGAUCCAGCCAUGCCGCGUGAGUGAUGAAGGCCCUAGGGUUGUAAAGCUCUUUCACCGGUGAAGAUAAUGACGGUAACCGGAGAAGAAGCCCCGGCUAACUUCGUGCCAGCAGCCGCGGUAAUACGAAGGGGGCUAGCGUUGUUCGGAUUUACUGGGCGUAAGCGCACGUAGGCGGACUUUUAAGUCAGGGGUGAAAUCCCGGGGCUCAACCCCGGAACUGCCUUUGAUACUGGAAGUCUUGAGUAUGGUAGAGGUGAGUGGAAUUCCGAGUGUAGAGGUGAAAUUCGUAGAUAUUCGGAGGAACACCAGUGGCGAAGGCGGCUCACUGGACCAUUACUGACGCUGAGGUGCGAAAGCGUGGGGAGCAAACAGG